UUUCAGGCAAUCGCGGUCCGGCUUGACCGGGCUGAGGAAAGUCCAUGCUCGCACCGGCUGAGAUGCUGGUAGUGUUCGUGCCUGACGAAACCAUAAGUCAGGGUACCGAGUGAUCGGUAACGGCAGGAAAACGUCCUAAAGCUUCGGCCAUGGACUAGUAUCCUUGAAAAGUGCCACAGUGACGAAGCGUCGCCUGGAAACAGCGACGGUGGAACGCGGUAAACCCCUCGAGCGAGCAACCCAAACAAUGGUAGGGGCGCUUCUUUGACGGAAUUAAACGAAUACAAGAAGGCAAGCAAUUGCAGAUAGAUGAUUGCCCAAGUGGCUGUUUCCCUGAAGCAGUCAUUGGACAGAACAUGGCUUACAG
rnacentral:RNase_P_RNA from 1 species